CCUACGGGUGGCAGCAGUGGGGAAUAUUGGGCAAUGGGCGCAAGCCUGACCCAGCAACGCCGCGUGAAGGAAGAAGGCUUUCGGGUUGUAAACUUCUUUUCUCAGGGACGAAGCAAGUGACGGUACCUGACGAAUAAGCCACGGCUAACUACGUGCCAGCAGCCGCGGUAAUACGUAGGUGGCAAGCGUUGUCCGGAUUUACUGGGUGUAAAGGGCGUGUAGCCGGGUUGACAAGUCAGAUGUGAAAUCCUGCGGCUCAACCCGUGAACUGCAUUUGAAACUGUUUCCCUUGAGUGUCGGAGAGGUAAUCGGAAUUCCUUGUGUAGCGGUGAAAUGCGUAGAUAUAAGGAAGAACACCAGUGGCGAAGGCGGAUUACUGGACGAUAACUGACGGUGAGGCGCGAAAGCGUGGGGAGCAAACAGGAUUAGAUACCCGAGUAGUC
rnacentral:rRNA from 1 species